UACGAAGGGGGCUAGCGUUGUUCGGAAUUACUGGGCGUAAAGCGCGCGCAGGCGGUUCUUCAAGUCAGAGGUGAAAGCCCAGGGCUCAACCCUGGAAUGGCCUUUGAGACUAGAGAACUAGGGUACGGGAGAGGUGAGUGGAAUCCGAGUGUAGAGGUGAAAUUCGUAGAUAUUCGGAGGAACACCAGUGGCGAAGGGCGGCUCACUGGUCCGGUACUGACGCUGAGGUGCGAAAGCGUGGGGAGCAAACAGGG
rnacentral:rRNA from 1 species